rnacentral:rRNA from 1 species
GGCCCCUCUCUCGGGUGAUCCCUCGGAGGGAUCACUUACUGAGUUACCGCUCAUCAACCCCGUUGUGCACAUACCUAAACAGUUGUUUCGGCGGGUAGGCGUCUCCUAAAAAGGACGUCUCCCGGCCCUCUCUCGUCCGCGGGUGGGGCGCCCGCGGGAGGCUAACCAAACUCUGAUUUAACGACGUUUCUUGUGAGUGACACAAGCAAAUAAUCAAAACUUUUAACAACGGAUCUCUUGGUUCUGGCAUCGAUGAAGAACGCAGCGAAAUGCGAUAAGUAAUGUGAAUUGCAGAAUUCAGUGAAUCAUCGAAUCUUUGAACGCACAUUGCGCCCGCCAGCAUUCUGGCGGGCAUGCCUGUUCGAGCGUCAUUUCAACCCUCAAGCUCUGCUUGGUGUUGGGGCUCUACGGUUGACGUAGGCCCUUAAAGGUAGGGGCGGACCCUCUCGGAGCCUCCUCGAGCGUAAACACUCGUCACGCACUGGAUUCGGCCGGCCGGGACCCGCCAAACCCCCCAAUCUACUAAGAUGACCUCGGAUCAGGUAGGAAGGCCCGCUAAGCUG